GAAGUCUUAUUUGAUUCAGAGGAAACAUUAUCCAACACCAAGUUGUGCGACAAAGUAUGGACGGAAAAACGAGAGUAUAAGUUAAAAACGGGCUCAGCUGUGAUUCCCUGUCGUUUUACUUGAACGACAAGGCUGUUUAAUUUAGGUCGUAGAAAUCCCAAUGGUGGUGCAUGUGGAAACGCGAGAAGGAAAGAUGGCAAUUCUGGCAUUGGAGGUGUUUGUCUUUUCCUUGAGCUUCUUUUACUUGCAGGAGAGGAAGAACCACUGGAACUUGAUGAAGAAGCCAUUAUGAUAGAGAGUU